rnacentral:rRNA from 1 species
UACAGAGGUCCCAAGCGUUGUUCGGAUUCAUUGGGCGUAAAGGGUGCGUAGGCGGCGCGGUAAGUCGGGUGUGAAAUCUCGGGGCUUAACUCCGAAACUGCAUUCGAUACUGCCGUGCUUGAGGACUGGAGAGGAGACUGGAAUUUACGGUGUAGCGGUGAAAUGCGCAGAUAUCAGGAGGAACACCGGUGGCGAAGGCGGUUCUCUGGGCAUUACCUGACGCUGAGGAGCGAAAGUGUGGGGAGCGAACAGG